GGAGCGACCAGACCUCCAGCUCCAGGAUCGGUACGAGGAGAUUGACUUGGAAACUGGCAUUUUGGAGUCCAGGAGGGACCCGGUCCCUCUGGAGGAUGUCUACCCCAUUCACAUGAUCUUAGAGAACAAGGAUGGCAUCCAGGGCUCGUGUCGGUACUUUAAGGAGAGGAAGAACAUCACCAGCGACAUCAGGACCAAGUCUCUGCAGCCGCGUUGUACGAUGGUGGAAGCCUUUGACAGAGAAGAGAAACGAGCCCUACUGUCAUCUGAGCCAGCAACAGUCCCCUUGGCUUAACUUCCCGGCGUGAGCCAACUGGAAGGGAGACACGGCCACACUCCCUCCAAGGCUUGGGACGGCGCCCGCGAGUACUCGCCAUACAUUUGCCACCUGGAGUUUCAGGCGCCUCAGGAAGCAUCCAGGAGUCUUCCUUCCAUAGUCAACAGGGACCUGAUGGACAACUCCACCCUGGAAGCGCAACUCAAAACAGCGUUGCAAGCCGAAGCCCUCCUGCUAGAACCAGCGACGCCACAGGCAACGAAAUGCCACGGAAGACAGAACUCACUUUGAGAAGCGGGGUUAAAUUCCAACACGAUGAGGGUGUCCGCGCCGUGCGGGGGACGUCCACCUGCCUCCCGGUCCUCAGGAGCAUCCUUGUCCCCAGUGGACAGAGGGCAGUCACCUCCAGGACAGCCCUCGGGCUCAGGCUCGGGCUCAGAGGUGACGUCUUCUUCAAUAGAGUCAUAGUCGUCACUGGGACAAUCCCCCUGUCUCCUCUGUGCGUUUGCACUGAGUUCCAGGCUUCUUCUCAGCUCCUGCCAAAAGCCAGGAAGAGAGAUGCACAGUGAGAUAAGGCACUUGGCGGGCCGUUCUUCUGAAAGUCAUUUGAACCAAAGAUCUGUUUCCAGCGCACUCACCUUCCACAAGGUCAAAACCAAGAGCAGAGGAAAGCCAGCGACUCUCUGGCCAGAGCAGUGCUCACAGUACCAAUGGUGGUGUUUGUAUACCUGAGAUGCUGUGUGUGUGUGUGUGUGUGUGAGAGAGAGAGAGAGAGAGAGAGAGAAAGAGGGAUGACCCUUAGGCUUGGUAAAACAGACUGUCGGGGAGGGCUUUUGCAUUUGGUACUCAGCUUAUAUCAUUGCUUGAGACACCUCUAUCCCCUAUUGGAGUGCCUGGUUCGAGUCUCGGCUCCUCUGCUUCUGCUCCAGCUUCCUGGUACUGCACACCCUGGGAGGCAGCAGGUGAUGGCUCAAGUACUUGGAUCCCUGCCGCCCACACAGGAGACCCAGAUGGAGUUCCAAGCUCCUGGAUUUGGCCUGGCCCAGCCACAGGUGUGGUGAGCAUCUGGGGGAGUGAACCAGUAGAUGGAAGACCUCGCUGUGUCUUUCAAAUAAAAGUGAAAAUAACUAGAUAAAUGCAUACUUAGAAACACAAACAUACAUACAAACAUAAACUCAUACAAAACAGAUUGUGGAGACCUAUCCUCAGAUUCUCUAACUCAGUGGGGCCUGAGAAUUUACAUUUCUAAGAAGCCAAUGAUGCUCAGGCUGCUGGUCCCAGAAGCCAGCUCUGCAAAUGAAAUCCCAAGGGCCUCCAAACGACCCUGAAAGUGCAGCCGGUGAGACGCCGGCAGGGAGCUGCUGGUGGCUGUCCUGCCUCUAGCAGGGUGCGGCACAGCAUCUAAAUGUGAAAUGUCAGAACAUUUCCCACUUGACUGUAACUGCCUGCGGAUUUUUUUUUUUUUUUUAACGAUGCUUUUGUCUUCUUGGGAUUAUAGGCCAAGCGUUAAUAUUUUUACUUUAGAACUUAACUAUUAACUGCUGGAUAAAACAAAUGUUUAUGUUUCUUUUUUCUUCCUGAGACUGUAGGUCAGGCAUUAAGAACUAUACUUAGAGUGACCAGAAAAAUGUAGCAUCCAAACCAGGACAUUUCUCUGAAAGGGGAAAAAAAGGCUUGGUUAAAUUUGUGAUGAGAUGAAAGAGGAUAAACUGAACAGCCAGGGAGAGCCAGUACGUGGAGUCAACCUAGCUCUACUAGCCCUAUAGCCCUUGUCGUAUCUAUCAUACUUCUGGAGAAAUGAGAAUCAAUCGGUGAAGGCUUGAUGAUUGACCAAUAAACCUUUAUAUUUAUGGUAGGCUGAAUAAUGGCUCCUCAAAGAUACUUAGAUUCUAAUCUCUAGAACUUGUCAGUCAGAGAAGGCUUAGGAGGAAGUGAACUCCAUAUAGAAAACCUGAAAUAUGUCAGGGAAAUCAUCCUAAAAUGACUGCUUGAUAGAAAGACAGACAUUGGGGCCGGCACUGUGGUAUAGUGGGGUAAAGCUGCUGCCUGCUGUGCCAGCCUCCCAUAUUGGUGCCGCUUUGAGUCCCGGCUGCUCCACUUCUGAUCCAGCUCUCUGCUAUGGCCUGGAAAGCAGUAGAAGAUGGCCCAAGUGCUUGGACCCCUACACUCAUGUGGGUGACCUAGAUGAAGCUCCUGGCUCCUGGCUUCAGCUCUGCCCAUCCCUGGCUGUUGUGGCCAUCUGGGGAGUGAACCAGUGGAUGGGAGACCUCCCUCCCUCUCCCCCCCACCCCUCUCUCUGCCUCUGCUUCUCUGUAACUCUACCUUUCAAACUAAUUAGAUAAUUAAUUGAAAUACAGACAUCAAAGGUGCCGCUGUUGAGGGCUCAGGUCCGGGGAACCGGAAACUGGGGGAGAGGGAACCCUGCUAGGCGGCAGCAAAGCCCUCACGGAACUGUGCCUGCAGUUACAGGCUAAGCACACUGGUAAGUGAUGAGCCUGGAAAUGGACUCAGCAGGUUUCCACGGAAGGUGUUGAAGUUGCUUCUACCAGCUGAGAGUAGGAGGCAAGAGCAGAGAGACUGGAGGAAGAGCUGCUAAGGGAAGAGGAACUAGGAUUUGACGAUUUGGGCGACUCUCAGCUGGUCCAGGCUGCAAAAAGAUGUGAUGAUUAGGAGCUUCGCUGUCAGAAAGUGUGCUCUGGCAGAAAAUCAAGUGGGUGGUGCACUACCUGUGGCUAGAAUCCCAGGAGGGACCAAAGUUCAGAGUGUCCAAGUACAUAGUGGGCUCUUUGUCCAAGAGAUAGACGGGGCCCACCGAUCUCCUUAGACAUCUAAGCAGAUGCAAGGAACAGAGGCUGGGUCAGUCCCAAGUGAUCCAGGGCGGAGCCUCUUGUCUAAGAGGGUGAACCUGAGGGCCAGAUACAGGAGUCACACAGGGCCACUGAGAACGCUGGUUUGGACUGAACCGGGAGAAAGAAAGCACGGAAUUAAAGAAGCUGGUCAGACUAGAAGCUUAAAAAAAAUGGAUUUACUCCAGAGCCUCAAAAAGGAACACAGAGAUGUCAACACCUGAUUAUAGAUCAGCAAAAUCCACUUGAGUUCACGGUCAUGGUAAGUGUUUUUGUAGCAGCAGGAAGAACUAAUACACCUGUUUACCUUUUACAGUUCUCUCCCUCCCACCCCCCAGAGCAAGUAGCAGUGAGCAGCUAAGACACUGAUGGCACAUAACGGGUGCUUAGUAGAUAUUUGCUGAACGACCGAGCAACUGUCAGCGACAGAGUGGUGGCUGCAAGCACGGGUGAAAUGCACCCACACGCCCUGGAGGCGGCAUCAGUGCAGUGACUCUUGCAAAGUGACUUCAUGUCUCUGAGAUGCAUUUGGACGUGCUUAAACACGGGCAAUUGACUCUCUGCCUCACAGGAUUGUCUUAUUAAUGGGGUAUGCAUUUGGCACAGCAGUUAAGAUGCUGUUUGGGGCACCUGCAACACAUACCACCGUCCUUGGGUUUGAAUCCCGGCUCCACAUCCAACUCCAGCUUCCUGCUAACGUGUCCCUUGGGGGCAGCAGAUGAUGGUUCCAAUACUUGGGAGACCUGGAUGGAGUUCUGGGUUCCUGGCUUCAGCCUGGCCCAGUCCUGGCUGUUGAGGGCAUUUGGGGAGUAAACCAGCAAAUGGGAAAUCUUUGUCUCUCUCUUUGCCUUUCAAAUACAUAGAAGCAAAUUUUUAAAAAAUUUGUUUUUAAAGUUUUAUUAAGGCAAUGGCUUGAACCAGAGAUGACUGCAACUCUCCCUGGAGGAGACAGCAAUGACUAAAAACCUUUUGGGUGGCAACUGCCGUGGCAGUGCUCUCAGUACCCAGCAGGUGAAGCCAGGGACGCCACUAGGCAUCCUGGAAUGCACAGAGCAGCUUUGCACAACAAGGGGGAAUCUGCUCCAAACAUCAAGUGCGCUGAGGCCAAGCCACCCAGGAUGACAAGGAGCACAUACCCAGCAUUUGAUACUUACAAGGUAACACAAGGGAUGGACAGUUGGCACAGUGGUUAAGAUGUUGCUUGGGACACCGGCAUCCCAUACUGGAGUGCCUGGUACAAGUCCUGGCUCUCGUUCCAACUCCAGCUUCCUGUUUGUGGUGCACUCUGGCAAGCAGCAGGUAACGGAUCAGGUAUGUGGGUCCCUGCCACCCACGAGGGAGACCCAGAUUGAGUUCCGGGCUCCUGGCUUCAGCCUGGUCUAGCCUAGCCCUGGUGGUUGUGUGCAUUUGAGGAGUGAACCAUUAGAUGGAAGAUUUCUCUCUCUCUCCCUCUCUGUCACUCUGCCUUUCAAAUAAAACCACAUGCAGCCAUUUAAACUCUGAUGCCUCUGUGAGCAGCUGCUGGAUAAGGGUGGACACCUGACAGGUGGGAAGUGUGUAGGUCACUUGGCGAUGUGCCCUUGGAGGGGGCUUCUCACAAGAGCUUGAUGACCAGAGUUCAAGUCUGGCCUAGGUUCUCGUCCUGUCCUUGGGGGUUCACCACAUGAUCACGCCCCCACACCAGCCGAGUGACCAGCCUCCAUGGGUGCUGGACUCUCGGGCUUCCCGAUCUUUCCUGAACUGCUGCCUCCGGCCCGUAAGCUGAAACACACCUUUUGUUUCCCAAGAAGCUCCUCUCGGCAAUUUUAGUUAAAGCCACGAGGAGCAGAGGUGUUCCGGCUGCAGGAGAUGGCCCAAGAAACCUUCAUGAGAACCAGACUCAGGUCAGGGCUCACACCUUCCAAGUCCAACUGUAGUGAGUAGGUGCAGGGAGGGGUCCACAUGGUGACUGUUCCUCCCCAGGGAAAGCCAGCUCAACCUCGCUUUCAGUGAUUACAGAACUGGCAGUCCUGUAGAGGAGACCACAGCUUGGUCCUCCGUAAACACACGACCGGUGCCUGUCUCAUCCUUGCAAUAAGCCCGACAGACCAGGAGAAAAAUCCCCGCCACAACUUGAGUUCUGGUGAGACAGGACAACCCUGUGGCUCCUGUUCUUAGCCCAGCCCCGUUCUCAAAGAGAGUCAGCUGCAGUCCUGCUGGGCUGUGGCGGUGGGGCAGACGAGCCUGCGUGAAGAAGCCACAGAGGGCCAGUCUCUGUCUCUGCAUCUCCAUACUCUUCUCUGAGUCACGUGGGUGGGGGAAAUCAGAAGACGGGUGCCAGCCUGCAGGGGCUUCCGGCCUCGGCCUAGGAAACCCCAGGUGUUCCCAGAGCCCAGAACAGUCCCCACUGAUGUCUAAGGCCUUGGAGAGCCCCUGACCACAGCCAGUUCCAGUUCCAGGACUGGAGGGGGCAGUAUCCAGACUCUUACACCUGAGCUGGCCUCCUCAUUACCUUCACAAUGUUGCAACCCCACAUUUCAGCGACUGAAUUUUUUGGGGUCCCCAAAACUUGAGGAACAGAGGCCAUGAGCCUUUAAGCCGGUCCAGCUUCUCACAGUAAGUAAGUGGCAGAGCCCUGAUGCCUGAGGCCCUCGCUGCAUACUGUCACGGCUCCACCGAUGGCAGCGCCACGUGGCGGCCACCCCUUGUGAAUGUACUCAUGCACGCACGUGUGCUAAGGGCUGAGGUAACAGUGUGGGGGAUGGGACGGCAAGACCCUCUGCCCUGUUCAGAGCACUCGGGGCGGUGGGGGAGAUUGGCAGAAGGUGCAGAAAGAAAAAUGAAUGGGGCAUCCAGACGUGGCCAGGACUGGGAGGGCAGGCCCCAGCCUGGAUGGUGGGACAGAGUGACUGGGCUGCCAGAGCCGCAGCGGAAGAUGCUCAGGAAGGCGGGGCAUCGGUGGGUGGGGAGGAAGAGCAUGCCAGGCAGGAACAGCAGAGCAGGGGCCGGGAGGCAGAAGUGGCUGGAGGGCACACGUGCCCCAUGACAAAGGCGGGCAGGAGGGAGAGCCUGUGUGGGACAGGGCUCUGCUGGCCUUGUGGAGCAGUCUGGAUUGUGUUCUGUGCACCAUGAGAGGCCACGGAGGGACCAGGCAGAGCCAACAUUCUCUGAUCUCUGUUGUUUCAGAGACUGCGCUGGCCCUGGAAUGCGCAGUGCACUGUGGGAGGUGGGCGGGGUGGAAAGUGUACUGGGCUGAGGCCGUGCUGGCAGCAGAGGUGGGGACAGGGGUGGCCUGAAGAUGUACUCUGAAGGUGAUGGCUAGCUAGAAAUGAACAGGGGAGGGCAGGCAUCUGGGCUAGCGGGAAGGAUGCCUGUAUCCCACACUGGAGCACCCGAGCUGGACGCCAGCCCCCUGCUUAUGCAGAGCCUGGGAAGCAGUGGUGGCUGGUGUGAGUAGUCGCCACCCACGUGGGAAACCUGGAUGGAGCGCCCAGACUGGCCAUUGUGGACAUUUGGGGGAGUUAACCAGUGAAUGGGAGCUUCCUUUCUGUGUAUCAAAUAAAUUUUUUUUAAAAAAUCAUUUUAAAAAAAAGGAAUUAACAAUAUGGACAUCUUUGGACCCAGCCAUCUUAGGAAUUUAUGCUUUAUUCUUAAGUGUGCAAAGAUCAGUCAGGCAUCCUUUAUAGGAGAGAAUGAUUCAAAUGUUGAUCAAUAAAUGGAUUAAAUAACAAAUAGCAUGGGCAUUCACAGAUCCCCAGGAAACCCCUACAAAGAAUGAGGUAGAACUUUCGUACUGCCUCGGGUCAAUAUCAAGAAACAUGUUUAAGGGAAAGGAAGCAUGUCAGAAAACACACAUAUGUGCGUGUAGGUGCAUGCAAACAGUCUGAGAAAACAGACACCAGCCAGUGACAGGGUUCUUUUAGAGGUUCACGUUAUGGGGACCAUCAUUUUCUGCCUUACUUUUUUUUUAAGAUUUACUUAAUUAUUUGAAAGGCAGAGUUAGAGAGAGAAAGGGGUUCUGUCUGCUGUCUCACUCUCCAAAUGGCCACAAUGGCCAGAGCUGUGCCGAUCUGAAGCCAGGAGCCAGGAGCUUCUUCCGGGUCUCUCACGCCGGUGCAGGGGCCCAAGAACUUGGGCCAUCUUCUACUGCUUUCCCAGGCCACAGCAGAGAGAUGGUUUGGAAUUGGAGCAGCCAGGACUUGAACUGGCACACAUAUGGCUUUACCCACUGUGCAACAGUGCUGGCUCCUUUACUUUUUUUUUUUUUUUUUUGAUAGGUUCCCCAAACCUAAAAUCCAAAAUCUCCAAAAUUCUAAAUUCAAUACAUGUUGGCUCAAAGUGAGACCCUGGAGCAUUUCAGUUCACGGAUGUUCAACUGACAGAAUCCAUGCAAACGUUCCACAAUCUGGAAACCCUCCUGCUCGCAAUCUUGUUCCACAAGGGCCACUCAACCUGAACUAGCAUGGACACAAUUUGGUAAUUAGAAAAGUGGGAUGCAUUUACAUAUAUGUUUAAAUUCUUUCACUCCUACACAUACAUUCUCCAUAGGAGAGGUGGGGAAUGGAGGUGUGGAGGACCCUGGGCAGCCAGGGGUCUGCAAAAUGCCGCCUCACUGCCCUUGGAACACAUCCGGUUCCAAAAGAGUCACUGUAAUGGCAGUGAGCAGCCACACUCGAUGGUGGGAGACAACAGGGCAGCCACCAACUCCUGAACAGCAUAUCCAGCUAACACGUUCAAGUUCAAAAGCAGCAGGGCACCGAUCUCAAAGAGGAAGAAACCCUGGAAACAUAGCUCCCAUGAGUCCCUCCUGAAAAAAGUUCCAAGCGGGAAAGGCCAGACAAGGAGAGAUCAAAAUUAUGAUACAAGUCCGUGGUUGAUACUGCUUGAAACACCCGCCGCGUCCCAGGUGGGAGUGUCUGCUCGGAGUCCCUGCUGCUUCCUGCUCACGCGCACCCUGGAAGGCCGCAGAUGAUGGCUCAAGUCCUUGGGCACCCGGCACCCACAGGAGGGACUCAUAUGGAAUUCCUGCCUCCUGGUUUUGGCCUGGCCCAGACCUGACUGUUUUGGGCUUUUGGAGAGUAAACCAGGGAAUCAAAGAGUGUUCCCUCUCUCCCUCUCUGUCUCCCAUCUUACAAAUAAAAUCAAUUUUUCUUUUUGAAAAAAUUUUUACAAAUUUUAAGAAAAUUUGUAUAAAGUAAAAUACACACACACACACACACAUAUAGCCAUGGAGAAGUUGUAGUAAAAGUGACCACUAACACCAUUCUGAGACUGAACAAAUUCUAGGUAUGGAUGCACAUUAGGUUACUUAUUUAAAAUAUUUAUUUGAAAGGCAGAAUGACAGAGACAGGAAGUUAGAGAGAUUUUCUAUCUGCUGGUUCACUCUACAAAUGGCCACAUCAGCCAAGGCUGGGCCAGGCCAAAGCCAAGAGCCAGGAACUCUAUCUGGGUCUCCCACGUGGGUAGCAGGGACCCAAGUAUUUGGGUCAUCUUCCGUUGCUCUCCUAGGUGCAUUAACUGGGAGCUGAGUCAGAAGUGGACCAGUUGGGUCUUGAAUCAGCACCCAGAAAUGGGAUGCCAGUGACAACUUAACUUCCUGUGCUACAAUGUUGGCUCCAAGUUAUGCAUGUUAUGAACCUAAACCCUCGGUUUAGGCAGGAAAACCAGGAGAGCAUAAUAAGUACACAUGCCUCCUGGACUUCUUUGCCAUCAAGUCAGUCAAAUCCAAAUAGAGUUGAAAAAAGAUGACGACUCCAGCCUCUUACUAUUAUUUCACAGUGUACUAAACUAAUAGAUUUUUAAAAAAAAUUUCUUGUAAUAGAUUUGAAUGUCCAUAA